UAGAUUGAAGCCAGAAUUAGGGUAUUUAGCUGUUAACUAAAAUUUCGUAGGUUUAUAGUCCUGCCAGUCUA
rnacentral:tRNA from 1 species